UCACCUGCCGAAGCAACUAGCCCUGAAAAUGGAUGGCGCUCUAGCGUCGUGCCUAUACCGGGCCGUCAACGGCAAAGUGGGCUACUGUCUCGUCGGUGCAAGCCGACGGGCUUGGCCGUUAAGCCUUGACGAGUAGGAGGCGCGUGACGGUGUGCGCAGAAGGGUCUGGGCGCGAGCCUGCCUGGAGCCGCCGUCGGUGCAGAUCUUGGUGGUAGUAGCAAAUACUCUAGCGAGGGCCUGGAGGGCUGAUGUGGAGAAGGGUUUCUUGUGAACAGCCGUUGCACAAGAGUCAGUCGACCCUAAGCCCUAGGAGAAAUCCGAUGUUGAUGGGCAGCUAUCACGCGGCUGGAUCGGUUUGUGCGCCUUAUCCACUUAAGAGCGCCGCUGACGGCCUACCGACUGCUCCCGUUGGGCGAAAGGGAAUCCGGUCCCUAUUCCGGAACCCGGCUGCGGAACCGUCACUUCGCGGGCACUCGCCUGCGAGCGCUCGUCGGGGUAACCCAAAAUGACCCGGAGACGCCGGCGGGAGGUCUGGAAAGAGUUGUCUUUUCUUUAUAAGCGUUCGAGUUCCCUGGAAUCCUAUAGCAGGGAGAUAGGGUUUGGAACGCGAAGAGCACCGCAGUUGCGGCGGUGUCUGGACCUUCCCCCCGGACCUUGAAAAUCCGGGUGAGGGCUACGCGGAAUUGUCGCGCCGGCUCGUACCCAUAUCCGCAGCAGGUCUCCAA
rnacentral:rRNA from 1 species